AGCGGGUAUUAAGUUUAAGAACAGGUUUCGGCCUUGUUUUAGGGAGUUCACGUUUCUCACCCGCUA
rnacentral:tRNA from 1 species